GGGGGCGUACGGACUCGACGGGGCCAAAAGGCUCCUGAAAGUGCAUGCAGGGCGCAGGACCCUUAAACCUGCAGAAAUAACUGCCAACACAAAUUACGCACUGGCUGCUUAAUAAAUGAGCAGCCCGUCCCCCGAAAGGCUCCAUCCACUUUCGGGUAGGGCGUCAUAGAGGAUGGAAGCCCUCUGUGUGGCAUCCUGACUGUCACAGAGAGGGUAAAAGGAAGUCAGGCUCUGACCUCUGGGACCUGCCCAUGGGUCUGGGUCAGAGUAUAAACAUGGGCUAAGCAUGUAGGGCUUUCAGGAGCCGGGCAACCGGACGCGGGUUCGAUUCCCGCCGCCUCCACCA
rnacentral:sRNA from 1 species